rnacentral:misc_RNA from 1 species
GAUGAAGAACGUAGCUAAAUGCGAUAAGUAAUGUGAAUUGCAGAAUUCAGUGAAUCAUCGAAUCUUUGAACGCACAUUGCGCCCGCCAGUAUUCUGGCGGGCAUGCCUGUUCGAGCGUCAUUUCAACCCUCAGGCCCCCAGUGCCUGGUGUUGGGGAUCGGCCCAGCCUUCCUGUAAGGCCGCCGGCCCCGAAAUCUAGUGGCGGUCUCGCUGUAGUCCUCCUCUGCGUAGUAGCACAACCUCGCAGUUGGAACGCGGCGGUGGCCAUGCCGUUAAACACCCCACUUCUGAAAGUUGACCUCGGAUCAGGUAGGAAUACCCGCUGAACUUAAGCAUAUCAAUAAGCGGAGGA